AGUGCAUUAAAAAUCGUGGUUUCCUUCAGCUUGAACUGAUUCAAGGUUUCCAUUCCCUCCCGCAGCUGCCUCAACAACCACAUCAGCUUGAGGAAGAUGGUCUCCUUCAACAUCAACUGAUUCAAGGAUCACAUCCCUUGCCACAACGUCAUCGACAAUGUCAUCGACAUGAGUUACAUUGUCUCCUUCAGCUCCAACAAUGCCAUGGUCAAUGUUUUCACUAUCAACACUAGGUUCAUCAUCUUGCCCAUCAACAGCAUCAUGGCUAUGCUCACCAUCAUGGUGAGAUGAAGCA
rnacentral:lncRNA from 1 species